UUCACAAAAGCCAGCCGAGAUAAACCUAUUAUGCACAGUAGUUAUAGGUGAGAAUGACAAACUCAGAACCAAAUAAGGUUUUAGUUUUGAUUAGUAAAUGCAUUUUUAUGCACCUAAAAACUUAGAUUAAAAAUUAAUAAAUAAGUAUAAUUUCUUGCAUACCUCCUUUAUAUCUAUCCGCUGACUGUAAAGCUACGGCUAGCAGUUUGUUAGCCUAAAUUGCAUAAAGACUGACAGAUGGGGACAGACCGAAGUGGCUUUGUCUUCAAAUCACAGAAUCAGCCUACCAGCACUUCUGUUUUAUGUUCCUAGUUACAUCUGUUCAUUCAUUCUCAAAAGACCCAGUAAGCUUCAUUCAUUGUUCACAGUACUCACCGUCUUUUCCAAAUUAGCAUUAUCUUAGCUAGCUCAUUGGUCAUUAACUUGAAAAUAUGAUAUUAACUUUACUCCACAUAAACUUGUUCUAUUUAAUGUGAGUAUUAGACAUAAUACAAGUUUUAUUAGCAAAAUGCUAAAAUAAAGUACUUUUUUCAUGCAGUAAAAUUAAUACUAGCAGAACUAGCAGUCUAGAUUUUGUUUGUAUGUUUUUUUUUCCCACUCAGAACACCCGAGGAGACAGAAAACUUUACUAAUAUGUAUUUUCUCUUCAUUCAUGUUCUAUGCUUGAGCAAAUUUUUAACGGCAGUCCGCUUGCUUUUACACUUGAACCAGAAGUGCUGGUAGGCGUUAGCUACAUAAAGUGUUUCUACCUUAUUCCAGUCUUUAUGCUAACAUUACCACCUAGCUAUUUUACAGACAGAUGUAAAUGGUUUUGAUCUUAGAAAGAUGUAUGUCAUUUCCAGUAAUAUAAAAUUAUGACUUCAGUUCCUUGGCUAAUAAACCUCGUCCAAUUAUUCGUGUCCUCUGUAACCAUGGUUCUCAUGUCAUGUUGACCAAAUUGUUGUUUUUUUGUUUGUUAAAAUGAAGUGUUGCACUUGAGUGGCUUCUCUGGUUACAUGUUAGCUAUUACCCAGCUUCAGUAUAUGUCAAAGCUAAUACUUUAUUUCCUGUCUUCUGUUGUCAGAACAAUUACUGUCCUUUUAAUUAUUUUUGACAAAUUUUUAAAUAAUUUUCCCUAAUUAAGAGAAAAGUAAUCUGACAGAAGCUUCCAUGUUGCUUGGCCACUGACUUGCCCAAGUCCCUGUAUACUACAAAAAAAAGACAGCAAUAAACUUAUCACUUAUCAAAAUUA
ensembl:lncRNA